rnacentral:tRNA from 1 species
GGAGGGGUUCCUGAGUGGACAAAAGGAGCAGACUGUAAAUCUGUUGGCUUACGCCUUCGUAGGUUCGAAUCCUACCCCCUCCA